UACAGAGGUCUCAAGCGUUGUUCGGAUUCAUUGGGCGUAAAGGGUGCGUAGGCGGCGCGGUAAGUCGGGUGUGAAAUCUCGGAGCUUAACUCCGAAACUGCAUUCGAUACUGCCGUGCUUGAGGACUGGAGAGGAGACUGGAAUUUACGGUGUAGCGGUGAAAUGCGUAGAUAUCAGGAGGAACACCAAUUGCGAAGGCAGCUCGCUGGGACGUGACUGACGCUGAGACGCGAAAGCGUGGGGAGGCAAACAGG
rnacentral:rRNA from 1 species